ACGUGCCGCCAAAACGCCAUUGCAGGUUUAAGUUUAAACAACUUCUGUACUUGUGAAACUUGCGAAGAGCUUAUUAUAUUCAGUUAUAGUCCUACUCCGAUAGUACCUUACUACUUGGGAUAACCGUAGUAAUCCCUAGAGCUAAUACAUGGCGUAAAUACCCAACUGGCUUGGUCGGACGGGUAGCAUUUAUUAGAUUCGAAACCAAUGGCAGCUUCGGCCGGUAUUCGUGUUGAGUCAUAAUAACUCGUGCGGAUUCGCUUUUUGAGCGAUAAAUCGAUUGAGUUUCUGCCCUAUCAGCUUUCGGAUUGGUAGGAUAUGGGCCUACCAUGGGCGUUUAACGGGUAACGGGGAAAUUAGGGGGUUUUGGAUUUCCGGGAAGAGGGGGAGCCCUUUAGAAAACGGCUACCCACAUUCCAAGAGAAAGAGCAGCAGAGCGCCGUAAAUUCACCCCAAUUUCCUCGACACAGGGAGAGUAGUAGACAAAUAAAUAACAAUAG
rnacentral:rRNA from 1 species